UGACUGGUUUUCAACAGCCCAGUAGGUAAAAGCACAAGGCAAAGCUACUGACUCGGUCACACCUUCCCUCCAAGAAUACAGUCACACCUAGAGGAUGCAGUAUGGGGCUUAAGUAGCAGAUGCCACAAAGCGGACCAAGCUUUCUCCUAUGAGAAACGUAGCUCACGUGGCUGUGAUGGGAACCGAGGGUGCACAGCAGGGUACGGAGGGGAAGAGAAGGCACGAAGGAGAGUUGCCUAGCAGUAACAGCAUUUGGCAGAGGCACAGGCUACUCUGCGCUGAGCAAUGAAGGAAGACUCGGGCUUGUGGAGCUAAGAGAGACUAGAUGUAGUAACUAUGUAACCAUGGGGGAAAAGUCAAGUAUUUUCUUCAGAAAAUCUCCUGCUACCAGAAGAACAUGGACUUAUAAAAAUGUUGACUACUGUUGCUGCAUUGUUAUUUUUGUUUGUUACAACUGCAGACCCUCACACCUUGCAAAUGUUCUCAGACUUGCUCAUUCAGCCUGAAGAGAGUCAAGAGGACAUGCUCACACACUGCCUUGUUAUAGGUGCCCCUUUCCAUUGCACCUGUCUGUAAGCGAUUGAUCCUACUUUUCAUGAAAAUUUUAGUUAUAAAUCAGUGGUGCUUAAUUUGUAAGGGAAAUCUGGAUCACAUGGAUAUUUUUCCAAUAACAAAUUAUACAGUUUUUAGCUUGUGUGUUCAAGAGCCCUCAAGACAAAGAAUGUGCCUCCUUUCAUAUACUUUUCUGAAUUUUGCAUAAUUACUUACUAUUUAUGAACAAGGCAUUGCUCAGGUAGUGUUACUUACACUAACAGUCUUUGGAAAUCACCAUAUUUUUUUCCAAAUUUAAAUUUGGGAUCCUGAUAAUGUUUUCAAAGUACAUUUAAAAGAUCAGGGAUAAGUUAUGUUGUGGUAUUUUUUCAGAACCAGACAUGGAUGCUUUGUCAAAGCAAACUAUUUAUCUUAAACACAGCUAAAUACUUAGUUUAUUUAUUAUUAUUAUUAUUAUUAUUAUUAUUAUUAUUAUUAUUAUUAUUAUUAUUAUGUCUGGUUAGAUUCUUCCAAAUAAAAUUCUAAUGAAUUUGUUCUGUCACGACUAUCAUCUUAGGCAAACUUCAACAACCAAUUCAUGCCUAUGCUUACAUGUAAAAAUGGUAAUUGAUUCAAGUAGGGAUUCUUUACACACCAGAGUUCAAGUUUGCCUGCUGGUUCAAGGAUUUGCAUUCAUGUCAGUAAAUGUUUGUGCAGGAAGGAGUUCUUGGCAGGAAUCAUAGCGUCAGAAUCUAGUCUUUCUGCAAAAUACGGGAUAGCAAAUUUUUUGCUGUUACUGAGCAGUAAGGGCUCAUUUACAAAGGGUGUUUUCCUCUUCCUGCAGGGUAACCUGACAUGGCAUAGACUUUUAUAAAACUAUGAGAAUCUUGAAGCUAUGUUAUUUGUAUUAAUUUGCCACAAGCUAUAUUAGAAAGAUUAUCCAGAAAAUUAUUUAAAAAGCAAAGAAGAAGGGUCAUUUUCCAAGUCUUUCACAUGUCAGAUUUUGACAUUUAAUUGCCAGCUUUAAUAUCAGUCCUUCAUAAGGUUGAAUAAUGUUCUUGUUGCUUUCCCACUAUGUGUCAUUGUGGUAGAGGGGACAUUUCCUUGAGCAAAGGAAGUAUGCCUGGAUGCUGCAGAGGAACAAAUGAUCAGCUAGCCCCACAGAGCUUAAAAAACCCCAAAUGAUUUCCAAACAUUACACCUACACUGUCAUCCCUGUUGAAAUGCGAUCUUCUUUAGAAUAAAACAUGACAACUCUUCAAUGCAAAAAGUUGAAUGGAGAUUCUAGGAGUUAUAGCGAAGCAGCAUGUAGUUACCCAGACUAACUUACAGUUAAAGGAGCCAGCUUCCCAUUUUAUCCUAGAGAAACUCUUUUUCAUCGUGAAGAGUGCUACAACUUAGUCUUGCCUUUUGUUUUUAUUUUUAUUUUAUUUGUUUGUUGUAUUGUUAUGUUUUGAUCAAUUCCUUUUUGAACACCAUCCUUUUAGGUUCUUUUUAUGAAAAUGGGGAUGUUAAUUUAUCCUGCAUAACUUCCUGGGGGAUUAUUAAUAGAUAUUACAGAAUGGAAAGCUGCUACUAUUUAUUGCCACUAUGAUUCCUCUGGCUUCCUGUAGGAAACAUUCCUUCCGAUUAACUUCCACUCAAAUUUAUUUAUUUCCAGUGUACCACAUACAUCUAUUAUUUGCUGUCUGCAUCUUCUU